UACGUAGGUGGCAAGCGUUGUCCGGAAUUAUUGGGCGUAAAGCGCGCGCAGGUGGUUCCUUAAGUCUGAUGUGAAAGCCCACGGCUCAACCGUGGAGGGUCAUUGGAAACUGGGGAACUUGAGUGCAGAAGAGGAAAGUGGAAUUCCAAGUGUAGCGGUGAAAUGCGUAGAGAUUUGGAGGAACACCAGUGGCGAAGGCGACUUUCUGGACAGAAACUGACGCUGAUGCGCGAAAGCUAGGGGAGCAAACAGG
rnacentral:rRNA from 1 species